AGCCGUGGCUCACACCCCGGCCUCUCCCCGCUGCGCCAUUGCCUGGACACUCGGCUGGGAGCAGGGAAACGCUCUCAAGGCACUCGUGACACAGAGGAGUCGACGAGCCACGGAUCUGAAUGGGGAAGAAACUCGAGGAGGCUUGUCUGGCACGAGGACGGACCCUGCCGGCGCCGCCUCAGCAUAGGGACAACAGAAGGGAAGUUUUUCUGCUCAAGAAGCCAGAAGAGCCAGAGACAAGUUGAUGGCCACUUUAAGCUUGACCCUCCGGCCGUAUUUGCCAACUCUCCCAAACACAAGGCUUCAGUGCUUCGACCACCGCUCCCGUGGCUGCCUGCAGGAACGGCCUUCCUGGAGGACAGGACAAGAGGGAGCCCAGAGGAGAACGAUGGGAUGGACCAGAUCCCUGUGCACUUGGGUUGGACGUGACACCAGGAAGGAGGGCCGAGAGAGUCUCUGUCAUCUCUGUGCCCAACGUGGGGCUCGAACUCAUGACCCCGACACCAAGAACUGCGCACACCUCACUGACUGAGCAAGCCGGCUCCUCAGAAGAUUUUUAUUUUAAAAUCUUUCUUGAGUCUUCUAAUUUUUCCUGUAUGUAACAUGUCACAGAAUUAACAACAAUGAAUGCCUCCAAGCUAAGCUGAUUACUUCUAGUAUAGCUGUGUUGUGCUGUGGAUUACCUAUUCAUUUGUCCUUCUCUUUAGACUGAGCUCAAAAGGAGGG